rnacentral:rRNA from 1 species
CCUACGGGUGGCAGCAGUGGGGGAUAUUGCACAAUGGGCGGAACCCUGAUGCAGCGACGCCGCGUGGGUGAAGAAGCGCCUCGGCGCGUAAAGCCCUUUCAGCAGGGAAGAAAAUGACGGUACCUUAAGAAGAAGCCCCGUCUCACUACGUGCCAGCAGCCGCCGUAAUACGUAGGGGGCAAACGUUAUCCGGAUUUACUGGGGGUAAAGGGGGCGCAGACGGUGAUGCAAGCCCGGAGUGAAAGCCCGGGGCCCAACCCCGGGACUGCUCUUGGAACUGCGUGGCUGGAGUGCAGGAGGGGUAGGCGGAAUUCCUGGUGUAGCGGUGAAAUGCGUAGAUAUCAGGAGGAACACCGGUGGCGAAGGCGGCCUGCUGGACUGAAACUGACGUUGAGGCCCGAAAGCGUGGGGAGCAAACAGGAUUAGAUACCCUAGUAGUC